rnacentral:lncRNA from 1 species
AGAGCGCUUCAAUUGUUCUUCUUGCCUCUCUUUCUAAGUCUCAAAGGACUUUCUCUUCCACUCGGUUGUAUGUGGCGCUUGAAAGUUUCUAGAAUGAUUUCGAACGAUUGUAGGCGGUUGUUAGCUUUGUCAGUUUCGUAGAUCCUUCAGUGUGUUGGUUCAUUGGCUCGAGCUUUAAGUAUUUUGUUCAGGUGGAACAGAGAGUAUCCGGUUAGUCUAUGCCGUCGACGUUGUCCGUAGAAUCGUCGUGAUAGCUCCGGAGGUUUCGAUUACGACAUGGGUUGACUGUUCCGUGUUGGUAAUGGUAUCUUUUUGUGGGUUUUAGGCCCAAGUUUGGUUUUACAA